UCCUCAGUAGCUCAGCUGGUAGAGCAUCGGACUGUUAAUUCGCUUGUCCCUGGUUCGAAUCCAGGCUGAGGAG
rnacentral:tRNA from 1 species